UGUGUGUGUGUGUGUGUGUGUGUGUGUGUGUGUUUUAAGGCUAAGCUGUGCCAAACAGUCUGCUGUGAUUUCCACAGUGGAGCUGGUCGUCUGCCAUCGCUGCCAUGAAGUCGAACAAUGAAGGAUCCUCUCUUUAUUUUAAAUAACUGAGGCCAAACAUGAACUACAGUUUGUCUGGACCUGAUCACAGGCAGACUGUUGCACACACUACAUGACACACUAUGAGUGUUUUGUGGACAUAAUGUAUUCAUUAUGUGCUGAUAUCAUAUUUACAUGUUUCCUUGGGAAUAUGUGGUUUUGUAGAUAACUCCUCCAUAAAUGAAGCAAUGCCUUCACUUGAAGAAAUGUUGAACAUGAUCCAGGCAGCAAUUAGAUUUUCCUCAAAAUGCAGUUGGCACAGAAGAUUAGUCAUAUAUAUAUAUAGAGACGGAGUGUAAACAAGAUUGUCUUUCAUCAGUCUUUCUGAACGGUGAAGCACGAUCCCGGGCAUUUCUGUCUGGCGGCAGUGUGCUUGAAAAGAACUAGUUGGUACGAUGGAUAAAAAGGUCGUAUAGCCGGGAGACACGAUCAUUGUGUCAAUGUGAGGUCUGUCCUGGAAGACAGUCGCGGUGUUGCACGCUGUUGUUCACGUGAAAAGUGACGGACGUGUGAAAAACAAGAGCUGAGAAGUCCUGCCACACUUUCUCAGUGGGCAGUAAAACGAAAACAGGAAAAGGUAAAACACCUCUUAGUUCGGAAGCAUUCACUUCACAGUAACAACUUUCUUUUUCAUAUUAUAUUUAUAUGUCUAUAAUUAUUAUAUCAUAUAUCAAGAUGGCGGCGCGCAGGACGCAGCGGCUCUUGCGGCUUGUGCCUGCACAUUGUGUUAAUGACAAUAAAGUUGAAUUGAAUCAUUUAUAUUAUUAUGUAUUUAUUCUAUUAUUUGUAUUUAGUAAAUUACUGUGUAUUUAAAUGUAUUUACAUUGUUCUUUUUUUAAGACGCUAUAGAGGAGAAGUCCUAAAGUUGCUCAGAAUAAGUCUGAACACCUGCAGUCCCAUGACAACUCAGCAAACUUCAUCUGCUGAUGAAGACCAUGUGAUAAAGUGGAAAGCUCCGGAACAAGCAAGUUCGACAGGUUGCCGUGUGUGUCUGUUAGUGUGUACGUGCUGAGCUGCAUCGUCGCAGCAACAUCAGGUGUGACUGGCAGAUAAGGUGAAAACACAGAGUUUGACCCUGCAGCAGGUCACCUGAGGUGAUCCUGCAGUCAGAUUAUAUCUUUACGACACAGUAACACCACACUGAGGCCCAGCGGGCACAAACACAAGAAGAAAAGACUUCUGAGAGUCACAGCGAGAGUGUUACACUUCUGUCCUACACAGUACAAAGCUGUUCCAGAAGCUUCAGAGAAACAGACAGGGCGGGAAAAGAGAGCAAAGUUUGAGGAAAAACGGUUGUAGUUACCAGUAGGUGAUUCAUGUCUGUGGCGG